UGGGGAAUCUUGCGCAAUGGGCGAAAGCCUGACGCAGCGACGCCGCGUGGGGGAUGAAGCUUCUCGGAGUGUAAACCCCUUUCGACCCGGACGAAACGCCCGCAAGGGCUUGACGGUACGGGUAUAAGAAGCCCCGGCUAACUACGUG
rnacentral:rRNA from 1 species